UACGGAGGGUGCAAGCGUUAUCCGGAUUUACUGGGUUUAAAGGGUGCGUAGGUGGGUAGGUAAGUCAGUGGUGAAAUCUCCAAGCUUAACUUGGAAACUGCCGUUGAUACUAUCUGUCUUGAAUGUUGUGGAGGUGAGCGGAAUAUGUCAUGUAGCGGUGAAAUGCUUAGAUAUGACAUAGAACACCAAUUGCGAAGGCAGCUCACUACACAAUUAUUGACUCUGAGGCACGAAAGCGUGGGGAUCAAACAGG
rnacentral:rRNA from 1 species